rnacentral:lncRNA from 1 species
AACAAGCUGAUCCUGCCAAAAGUCUAAGAAGACCAGCAGAUGAACAGCUUUGCAUUUUAGGUAGGUCAUGGUGGCUUCACUUUGGUAAAGAAUUGGAGCUGGAGGCAAGGAGGGCAUUCAGGCUUUUUCAACAAACCAGUGGAGAGGUGAUGGUGACCCAUAUUGGGGAGGUACCAGUGGGCAUCUAAGAAUAAAUUUUUUUGCACUUCUAUGUACAGGAACUCUUCUAGGUACCAGGGGGAUAAGCAGCGGUAUAGCAGGGGUAAAUCUUACAUUACAGUGGAGGAAUGAGAAAACAAACAGUAAAUAACCUAAUUUCUGUUCAGCAAAUACUAUGAGAAUAAAGUUAAAUAGGUUAAAGCAAUGGUGCAUGCUCUAUUUUAGAUAGGAUGGAUAGAGCAAGGCAUCUCCAAACAGAUCUGAAGGGGUUAGAGGAGUAAGUCAUCUACAGUUGUGGAAGAUAAGCAUUGCAGAUAGCAGAGAUCUGAAUGUUCUCUUCUGAAUAUAUUAAGUUUGAGAUCUUAUAGAUGCCCAUAUGGAGACUACCAGUAUACAAGUCUGAACCUCAAGGGAGAUGUCUGAUAUGGAAACUCAGGAUUCAUCAGCAAACAUACGCUAUUGGAUAUCUUUGAACUAAAAGAAUAUCUAAGGUGUAAGUGUAGCACUGAAAACUGGGAUCUCAAAAACUUAUUGGUAGAAUGAAGAGAAGGAGAGUUCUGGCUUCUGCACUGGGGGAUGUCCACUAGAUAGAGGCUGAAGGGAUGUUAAAAGAGCCCUUCCUCAGAAUCUGCCACAGUGACCAAGAAGGUUUGCAGGCCACUGAGAUGAGGACCAAGGAAUAGAGUCCAGUUUGUUGAAUUUCAGUACCUACGGCAUUAAGCAGCCAGGCAUAUGGGUUUGAAGCUCAAGAGGGAAAUGUGGAGGGAGAUAGAUUUUAGCACCCAGCAUACAGGUCAAAAAGUGAGGUCAGGAUGAAGAGUGAGAAAAGAGAAAAGGCCAGGGAGUUCCCAUCAUGGUGCAGUGGUUAACGAAUCCGACUAGGAACCAUGAGGUUGUGGAUUCAAUCCCUGGCCUCGCUCAGUGGGUUAAGGAUCCGGCGUUGCUGUGAGCUGUGUGUGAUAUGAGGUUGAAAAGUGUGGGCUCUCGGGUUCUUGCCACUUAGCCAUUGUUUGAUCUUGGGAAAAUUAUUAACCUCUUCAUGUCUCAGUUUCCACACCCGCAACUUUGGAAUAAUGACAAGAUCUUCCUCCUUGGCUUGCUGCGAAGAGAAAUAGCAUUACUCCUUUAGUACACUGACCUCUUUCCACUCAACAAAUGAGCCAAGAUUAUUAGUACCUCAAAAACUUUGUCCAUACCUUUUGCCCUGUCUAUAUUGUUCAUCCAAAGACUGGUGUGUGUUUGUACACGCACGCAGGGAAGCAUUUAGAACAUGCGAGGCAUACAGUUAGUGUUUCGUAUGAUUGAACAAUUGAUAAGGAGAAAAAAAAAGACUGAGCUACUAUGAUAUCACUGUUAUCCCGUAACCUUAUAGAACUGAGAAUCCUGAGGUCAGUUGCUCUGUGCUCUAGAAAUCUUCCAAAGCUAGCCAAACUGCUGCAUAUAAGUCCACUAAGAAAUAUAUCUCCAGGACACCUCUGUUCCCCAAUUCCUUUAUCCUGUACUUACAAGGUGAGCAAAUAAAAUACCACAUCCUGACCUUGCCAUUUAUCUUACUCUGCACUCAGCUGGUGCCCAGAGGAUAACACUGGACUUAGAGUUUGAAGAGCCAGGUUUCAGGCUCUGCUGGAUGAACUUUGGACCCCAUCACAUAAGUUUUCAGUAUCUUCCCUUAUUUGUCUUAAGCACCAAUUUCCUCCCUAUCUGUUGAAAGGAUUAAAUGAGAUAAUAUAAUUUGUAUCCACAUAAAUAAUAUUGGGUCAUUCACCUGCUCAAGACUCUUUGUCCUCAGAACAAAAUCUAAAUUCCUUACCAUGGCCUCUGCCUGUCAGACCCACCCCACUAGUUCCCUUCCUUUUUCUCGGCUCUGAGUACAUCAAACACAUCAAGGUUACUCAUAGCACAACUCUGCCCUCCUGUUUCCCCCUCUCUGUAAUGUUUCUUCUAGGUAUUUUCAAAACUGUUUGGUCUGUCUGUUUGUUUGGGGCAUUCAGGUUUCUAGCCAAGAAUCCUCCCCUGGGAGUCUUUCUACACCUGCCUCAUCUAAGUGGUGCUGCUCCCAGUUGUUCUCUAUCACAUCAUCCUCUUUUAUAUUUCUCAUUGCAUCUAUCAUCAUCAUCUGAAAUUAUUUUGUUCACUUAUUUAACAAUUUUCUCUGAGGGCAGGGGCCAUGUCUGUUUGGUUGAGAACUCUCCUCCUAGUGUCUAGACAGCACCUGGCCUGUGGGAAAGCCCCUUAAAUAUUUGUGCAUAAAUGAACGAGAACAUGCUCCAUGAAGGGGAACGGAUGCAGGUAUCCUUGAGGAUCUACUGCAGUGACUGACUGUGGCCACUCACUUGCUAGAGCCUCAGCCAAGAGAGCAUAACAGCUCUGCAAGUACCAGAGGCCUUCUUUCUCAGGGGUGCUCUGAAAGAAGUACCACUUUAAAUAAAAGCAGAUGAACAGCACUAUGUGGAGAAGUCCUUUUGUAAAGAGAAGCACUGUGAGCCCCCAACAAGGGAGGGAGCUCCUUAGAGCACUCACAACAAAGGCAGCAGCAAUCACUCAAGAAGAAAGCAGACCCAGGAGAGACCAUAUGGAAGACAUCAAGUGUAGAAGCAACUAUGGAAAUGGCCCACCCCUACAGGAAGGUGUACUUUAUCACUGACCUUGUGUGUAACUGCCAGGACACAGAGAUAAUAAAAAAUAGAUUGAGUCUGUUUUUGUCUGUUUUAUCAUUGCUUUUAAAUUGUAUGUUCUUAUCAAAAAGCUUCACUCUCACUUAGAUACAUCUUGACUCCCGAUAUAUUUCUACAGACCAUGGGAAUGGGAGCCUGACACUGGAGUGAUAAUCCAAUUACUUUAAAAAGGCAAAAAAGUAGGAAGAUGUCUGACAUGCAGAACCCAGUUAUUAUGAUGCCUCUGAAAAGAAAGCUUUUCCUGGACUAUGUUAUAUACUUUAUUGGUUUUUUGAAAAUCUGUGUUGAUGAUGUUAUUUAAUGAUGAUGCUUGCCUUUGCCUCAUAGUCAUCAUAAAUUUGAUUCACUUUCAGGUACUGGGACUAGUGUGAGUGGCACAGAUGAAAAAAUUCAGAGCUGUAACAGGAUCCCACUUCAGUCUCCUUCCUAGGUACAGGCAAUUGGCUCCUUGUGCUUACCUUCACACUCUGGACCAUUCACAAACUGGGUUUGGUUCCUACUCUUACAGUAGCUGUGCCUACAAAGUUUGAUUCAGGGUCAAUUCCCCUCAGUGGCUUAUGGUCGCUGAUUCUUCUGCCAGUCUUCUCAGCCUCAGGGCCUUUGCACGUCCUUCUGUUUACCUGGAAUAGGCUCUUUCCAAUUCUUCAUAUGCUCCUCCUAGUCAUCCAGGGUUUACUCUAAUGUUAUCUCUUCUAAGAGGUCCUCCCACUGGAAAGCAAAUUCCCCGAGAACAGCAAUCUUGCCUGACUUAUUCACCCUCUCUAUCUUCUUGUUCCUAGAACAAUGCCUGUCCCACAGUAGAUGCUCAAUAAAUAUCAAUUUGUUCAUUGACAGGUACAUGAGCUCAGGUUUUUUGCUAGUCUGUUUAGAUUUAUGAUUCCGUUAUCACCAACGUCUCUAGCAUCUAUAUACCUUAUCAGUGAUCUAUUUAGCUUCAA